AUUGAACGCUGGCGGCAUGCCUUACACAUGCAAGUCGAACGGCAGCACGGACUUCGGUCUGGUGGCGAGUGGCGAACGGGUGAGUAAUGUAUCGGCACGUACCAUUCAGUGGGGGAUAACUAUCCGAAAGGAUAGCUAAUACCGCAUAUUCUGUGCGCAGGAAAGCAGGGGAUCGCCAGACCUUGCGCUGAUUGAGCGGCCGAUAUCAGAUUAGCUAGUUGGUGGGGUAAAGGCCUACCAAGGCUACGAUCAGUAGCGAGUCUGAGAGGAUGAUCCGCAACACUGGAACUGAGACACGGUCCAGACUCCUACGGGAGGCAGCAGUGGGGAAUUUUGGACAAUGGGGGCAACCCUGAUCCAGCCAUGCCGCGUGAGUGAAGAAGGCCUUCGGGUUGUAAAGCUCUUUCGUCCGGGAAGAAAUCGCAUCAGCUAAUACCUGGUGUGGAUGACGGUACCGGAAUAAGAAGCACCGGCUAACUACGUGCCAGCCGCCGCGGUAACAC
rnacentral:rRNA from 1 species